GAGCACGGUCAUAUCUGGCGAAAAGUACCUCAUCCCGUCCGAUCUGAGAAGUCAAAUCGCCACGAGCGUGGUUAGUACUGCGGUGGGAGACCACGCGGGAACACCUCGUACUGUGCUCU